rnacentral:lncRNA from 1 species
GGCAACUAGGGAAAGACCUAGCGACAGCCUGGAAAGACAGCUGACCGGAGGGAAAGACCCCAACAGGCCUGCCAUAGGCUAGCUCCCUAUGGUAGGAGGAACCUGGCACUACUAGUGUACAGGUCCCACCCACUUACUGGCUACUAAAAAUUCAAAGAAGAAAACACCCCUAGAGUCAGCGAGAGCGGGGGCGGAAGAUGACUCAUCGGUAGACAACACGGUAAUCGACCCAGGAACGAAACAGACAACGGCAAAGAUGAUCGGCACAAUACCUGAGACUGCAACAUCUACUCCAGGAAUCAAGCUUCAGAGGUGCAGCUGUGGCUGGGCGAAAGUAACAUCCUAUGCAGGCCUUAGAAUACAUCAAGGUCGAAAAAAGUGCUUGAAGGAAGUCGGACAGGGACCUUGCAUCGACCCCUACUUCUUACGAAGCAAGUCGAGUCAGUCAAGUGAAGUUCAGCAGCAGGACAAAAGCCAAAGUCUGCAGGACAUCAAUCCCCCGGGUCCAGAGGAAGAGGAGCCAAGCACAGCAGAGCCCCUUGAGCCCAGCCUACCUCAGCUCGCUACUGAAACAAAGAUCCCAGGGCGAAAGCCACUUAUCAAGUGGCCUAAAUCCUGUGAAAAAAAGGAGUGGGAAGCGAUCAACACAGACAUCAGCAAACUCUUUGAACAACUGAGGGGAACUGCGAUUAAAAAGCUGGAGAAGAUGGGAGAGCUGAUCUACAGCUAUGGUGCUGAGCGCUUUGGAAUCACAGAGAAAAGGAAAAAAACAUCAACCAUCCCAACAAAGUCCAGGAGACAGCAGGAGAUUGAGAGACUGGUCAAGGAGAGAAGACAGCUGAAGAAGCAGUGGAGGAAAGCCCCAGAGGAGGAGAAGGAGGGAAUAAACCUGCUGCAGGCAGAAAUCAAGAGCAGGCUGUCAACCUUGAGAAGAGCUGAGAAUCUUAGAAGGAGGCGUAAAAGGAAUGAGCAUGCAAGAUCGAGCUUCUUCAAAGACCCCUUCAAGUUUGUAAAGAGUCUUUUCACGAAAGAGAAAAGCGGCAAACUCAUAACAACAAGGAAAGAUCUUGAAGCUCAUCUGAAAAGAAUCCACACUGACAGCCACCGGAGCGAACAGAUCACCCUUCCACCAGUGCCACCAAUACAUCCUCCAGAACACCAGCUAGAUGUAUGUCCUCCCAAGUGGAGUGAAGUGGAAAGAACUGUUCGUCGAGCAAGAGCUGCAUCCUCUCCUGGGCCCAACAGAGUCCCUUACCGGCUUUAUAAAAACGCACCAGAUGUGUUACGCUUUCUCUGGAGGCUAAUGAAGGUGGUGUGGCAGAAACAAACGAUACCAACAGCUUGGCGAAGGGCUGGUGGCGUCCUAAUCCCUAAGGAGAAGGAUGCUGCUGACAUCAGCCAGUUUCGCCACAUCAGCAUCUUAAACGUUGAAGGCAAGAUCUUCUUCAGCGUAGUAGCUCACAGGCUGGCUGUGUACCUAGACAGAAAC